rnacentral:rRNA from 1 species
AUUGAACGCUGGCGGCAGGCCUAACACAUGCAAGUCGAACGGUAACAGGGAUCAGCUUGCUGAUUCGCUGACGAGUGGCGGACGGGUGAGUAAUGUCUGGGAAACUGCCUGAUGGAGGAGGAUAACUACUGGAAACGGUAGCUAAUACCGCAUAACGUCGCAAGACCAAAGAGGGGGACCUUCGGGCCUCUUGCCAUCGGAUGUGCCCAGAUGGGAUUAGCUAGUAGGUGGGGUAACGGCUCACCUAGGCGACGAUCCCUAGCUGGUCUGAGAGGAUGACCAGCCACACUGGAACUGAGACACGGUCCAGACUCCUACGGGAGGCAGCAGUGGGGAAUAUUGCACAAUGGGCGCAAGCCUGAUGCAGCCAUGCCGCGUGUAUGAAGAAGGCCUUCGGGUUGUAAAGUACUUUCAGCGGGGAGGAAGGGAGUAAAGUUAAUACCUUUGCUCAUUGACGUUACCCGCAGAAGAAGCACCGGCUAACUCCGUG